UGAGCAAUCUGCCCUUCUCAUCGGAAUAAGCGUUGGAAACGACGUCUAAUGCCGAAUACGACCUCCUUUCGCAUGAUCGGAGGUGGAAAGCUCCGGCGGAGAAGGAUGAGCUCGCGGCCUAUCAGCUAGUUGGUGUGGGUAAUGGCCCACCAAGGCGACGACGGGUAGCCGGCCUGAGAGGGUGAGCGGCCACACUGGGACUGAGACACGGCCCAGACUCCUAGGGAGG
rnacentral:rRNA from 1 species